UACGGGGGGAGCAAGCGUUGUUCGGAUUUACUGGGCGUAAAGGGCGCGUAGGCGGCGCAACAAGUCACUUGUGAAAUCUCCGGGCUUAACCCGGAGCGGUCAAGUGAUACUGUCGUGCUAGAGUGCGGAAGGGGCUACUGGAAUUCUCGGUGUAGCGGUGAAAUGCGUAGAUAUCGAGAGGAACACCAGUGGCGAAGGCGAGUCCCUGGACAACGACUGACACUGAGGCACGAAAGCUAGGGGAGCAAACAGG
rnacentral:rRNA from 1 species